rnacentral:rRNA from 1 species
GACGAACGCUGGCGGCGUGCUUAACACAUGCAAGUCGAACGGAAAGGCCCUGCUUGCAGGGUGCUCGAGUGGCGAACGGGUGAGUAACACGUGGGUGAUCUGCCCCUUAUUUUGGGAUAAGCCUGGGAAACUGGGUCUAAUACUGGAUAGGACCAUGCUGUAGGUGGUGUGGUGGAAAGAUUAGUUUCGGUAAGGGAUGAGCUCGCGGCCUAUCAGCUUGUUGGUGGGGUAAUGGCCUACCAAGGCGUCGACGGGUAGCCGGCCUGAGAGGGUGGACGGCCACAUUGAGACUGCGAUACGGCCCAGACGCCUACGGGAGGCAGCAGUGGGGAAUAUUGCACAAUGGGCGCAAGCCGGAUGCAGCGACGCCGCGUGGGGGAUGACGGCCUUCGGGUUGUAAACUCCUUUCAGCCAUGACGAAGCCCUUGUGGUGACGGUAGUGGUAGAAGAAGCACCGGCUAACUACGUG